UACGGAGGGAGCUAGCGUUGUUCGGAUCUACUGGGCGUAAAGCGCACGUAGGCGGCGCCGUAAGUCAGGGGUGAAAUCCCGGAGCUCAACUCCGGAACUGCCCUUGAAACUGCAGUGCUAGAAUCCUGGAGAGGCGAGUGGAAUUCCGAGUGUAGAGGUGAAAUUCGUAGAUAUUCGGAAGAACACCAGUGGCGAAGGCGACUCGCUGGGCAGGUAUUGACGCUGAGGUGCGAAAGCGUGGGGAGCAAACAGG
rnacentral:rRNA from 1 species